AUUGAACGCUGGCGGCAGGCCUAACACAUGCAAGUCGAGCGGGGUUUUCGGACCUAGCGGCGGACGGGUGAGUAAUGCGUAGGAAGCUACCCGAUAGAGGGGGAUACCAGUUGGAAACGACUGUUAAUACCGCAUAAUGUCUACGGACCAAAGUGUGGGACCUUCGGGCCACAUGCUAUCGGAUGCGCCUACGUGGGAUUAGCUAGUUGGUGAGGUAAUGGCUCACCAAGGCGACAAUCCCUAGCUGGUUUGAGAGGAUGAUCAGCCACACUGGAACUGAGACACGGUCCAGACUCCUACGGGAGGCAGCAGUGGGGAAUAUUGGACAAUGGGCGCAAGCCUGAUCCAGCCAUGCCGCGUGUGUGAAGAAGGCCUUCGGGUUGUAAAGCACUUUCAGCGAGGAGGAAGGGGUGAGUGUUAAUAGUACUCAUCUUUGACGUUACUCGCAGAAGAAUCACCGGCUAACUCUGUGCCAGCCGCCGCGGUAACAC
rnacentral:rRNA from 1 species